rnacentral:tRNA from 1 species
UCCCUGGUAGCUCAGUUGGUAAAGAAUCUGCCUGCAAUGCAGGAGACCCUGGUUUGAUCCCUGGGUUGGGAA